rnacentral:lncRNA from 1 species
UCUGUGGUUACAUGUAAACUUGUGGUAGGUCUGCAGAAGUUACACGUGAAGAGGUUAGUGAGGAAGUCAGCCAUGAUCCAUCUAUGUGAAGGUCACACCAGCUUCACUGUACACUUUGAAGACUUUUUCAAUGGCAUUGACAUAGGCAGCUGUUCUCAGGUCCAAUCCCAGGUUAUACUUCAUGGCUGUGUGCAUAAUUUGCCUGGCAGAACGCUCCAUUGUGUAUGCCAAGGCAGAGUGCACAAUGUCUUUCUCAGAUGCACCCGAUAUACUGUCUUGGAACUCUGCCGUGGGUACAAUGGGAAUAGUUCCACCAUGCUUUCCAAAUUUUCUUUCUAAACUCUCUUGAACAGACAGGAGCAAGUGGUAGUUAGAAUCCCUUUCAUAUUUGAAGGUCAAACGGCCAUAGCUGACAUGAUUUAGAUUCUUCAGCCACUCAAAGUAAGAUACUGUCACUCCUCCAGCAUUCAAGUAGAGAUCUGGAAUAACCAAAAUGUUUCUCUCCAGGAAGAUCUUAUCAGCUUCUGGAGUUGUUGGCCCAUUGGCACCUUCAGCAAUGAUCUUGGCUUUGACUCUGGGUGCGUUGGAUUUGGUCAACUGCUUCUCAGUGGCAGCUGGGAUCAGUAUGUCACAGUCGACCUCCAAGAUGCUUCCUUCAUAGGGCUUUGCCUUGGGGAAGCCCAGAAUGGACCCAUGUUGCAAUUUGAAGUCUUCCAGUUCCUUUGGGUCAAUACCAUCUGGAUUCCAUAUACUCCCAUCAGACUCACCAACAGCAAUACAUUUAGCACCAAAACGAUGUAAAUAUCUCAUAGAGUGUAGGCCCACAUUACCAAAUCCCUGAACAACAAAUGUUUUAUCUCUAAACCCUGGUGUCAUUCCUAAAAUGCUCAUGUAAGAAGCUUCAUUGAUGAAGUUUUCAAUCCCAUGGAAGACACCACGGCCAGUAGCAGAGAUGCGUCCAUGGAUUCCCCCUUGGCUGAUGGGUUUACCAGUAACACAGGCGUGUGCAUUAAUAUCAUAGUGCCCUAUGGUGCUGGCAUAGGUAUCAGCAAUCCAGGACAUCUCCCGCUCACCUGUGUUCAUGUCUGGAGCAGGCACAUCAACGCCAGGACCAAUAAAGCCCUUCUUUGCUAGCUCCAUGGUGAACCUCCUUGUGAUCUUUUCCAAUUCAUUUUCGGUAUAGUUCUUGGGAUUGAUCUUAACACCAGCUUUAGCACCCCCAAACGGCACAUCAACCACUGCACACUUGUAUGUCAUCAGAGAAGCCAAAGCUUUUACUUCAUCUACACUCACAUCAGUGCUGUAACGGAUACCUCCCUUGCAGGGCGUGCGGUGCUGGCUGUGCUGGGCCCGGUAGCCUUCGAUGACCUCCCAGGAGCCGUCGUCGCGCCGGAUGGGGAAGGAGAGACUCAGCACAUGGUUGCAGGGCUUGAUGAUCCGCAGGAUGCCGCGCACCCGGUUCCGCUUCUGCUCCUCGCUUUCCUGGGUCCUCAGGUCCUUCACCAACUUGUCCUCCACGAUGCUGGCGCCGCGAUCGAAGAAGCCCUCCACCAUCUUGAAGAAGUUGGGGUCGUCCUCGCGGUCGGCCACCAACUCGCUGUAGUGGCGCCGGGCGGCCAAUGCGAGCCCCGGCUGCGAGGCGGCGGCGGGCUGUCCGCGGCCCCGGCCCAGCAACGCGGCCGAGUGGUUGGCCGCGGAGCCCAGGGCAGCGGGCCCGGCCCGGGACGGCAGCAGCGCUUUGGCCAGGUAGCGGUACAUCGCGGCAGGCGGAGGAGGGGUGCGUGACGGUCGCGGAACAGACAUCCUGAGACAUAAAGUGAAAAGGACCUAGAAGGAACUACUGGAAGAAAUAUCACCCCUAUUAAACUGGGCAAUUUUGUUUAAAUAUGAGUGUUCUGGAGGAAACAUGCAUUGUCACCAGGCUGGAUGGGACCCUUUCAAGUGCCACGAUCACUCAUAUGGGUAUCAGAGUGAAAGAAAAACCAGAUGGUUUCAUGCUUUCCAUGUGAAGCCAGCUCCUCAGGAGGACUAGACUGCAGUUUCCACAAAGGAUUUGAAGUUUAAUUUCCUAGAGUGACUAAUAUUGGUAAUGAACUCAACUGAA